GGGUUGAUGGCGUAGUUCGUUAUCGCAUCUGUUUAACAUAAACAGAAAGCCCACAGGAGGUUCUCAGUUCAAAUCUGGAUUGACUCA